rnacentral:tRNA from 1 species
UUUUGUUUAUUUUAAAAAAAAAAAUUUGUAUUUCUAACAAAAAAUACAUCUUGUGUUGUGUAACAAAAU